GCCUGCAGAAAAGAACCAGACCUUUAAGAAUUGGUCAAGAAUUUUCAUUUUGCAGACUUUACAGGUAACUUCAUCAGGUUCAUACUUACAUGGAAAUAAGUCUGCAGUAUUGCAUCUUAAGAAUCCGGAGUUGUUUGCAGCCUAUCUGAAGGUCCUCGAGCAUUUGGUCAGUAAGCAGGACACAACCAGAAAUAUCCAAAAUGUGCAGAACUGAGGGAAGGACCUGAGCUGUUGGAUCACUUGAUGCCAUCAGGAUGACUCCAGAGCCAGCAUCCAUGAAUCCAGAAGCAAUGUUCCAGACUUGCAGUUUCCAGUCUGUCCUGAG